CGUUGAGCUAACCGGUACUAAUGAACCGUCAGGCUUAACCUUACAACGCCGAAGGUGUUU
rnacentral:rRNA from 1 species